CUUUUAACCUCAUUUAUAAUAUUUCAACCUAAAUCAAAAAAAAAACAACUAACUAGACUCAAUUAAUCUUCGCCUGUUUAACAAAAACAUCUUUUGGAUUUAAAACCCCAAAUAGAGUCUGCUCACUGGAAUUAAAGAGCCGCAGUAUCCUGACUGUGCUAAGGUAGCAUAAUAAUUAGUGGCCUAAUUAGCCACCAGAAUGAAUGACCUGACGAAAAAUAAAUUUUCUUGUAUUUUACUGAAAUUAAUUAGUAGGUAAAAACCCCUAUAGAAUUUAGAUGGACGACAAGACCCUAAAACCUUCAUCAAUCCAUUAUUAAGAUUAUUUUACUGGGGCGGUAGAUAAUUUAAACAUUAUUCUAUAUAACAUAGUGAAUGACCAAUACUAACUUUAUAAAAUACAAAAAGGUACUUUAGGGAUAACAGCACAAUUCUUAUUAAGAGUAACCAUAUCGACAUAAGAGAUUAUGACCUCGAUGUUGAAUUGAUAUUACCUCACUAAGCAGAAAUAGUGAAAGUAGGUCUGUUCGACCUUUAAUCUAUCACAUGAUUUGAGUUCAAACCGGCGCAAGCCAGGUUGGAUUCUAUCCUCUAAAUCUAUUAAAGCUUAUCUAGUACGUAAGGACCUUUAAGCUUUAAAUCUUAAAA
rnacentral:ncRNA from 1 species